GACGAACGCUGGCGGCGCGCUUAACACAUGCAAGUCGAACGGAAAGGCCUGCUUUCCCUUGUGGAUUGCGGGUACUCGAGUGGCGAACGGGUGAGUAACACGUGAGUGAUCUGCCCCCAACUUGGGUAUAAGCCUGGGAAACUGGGUCUAAUUCCCGAUAGGACUGCAGGGUGGUGCCUGUGGUGGAAAACGAUUUUCUAGUGGUUGGGGAUGAGCUCGCGGCCUAUCAGCUUGUUGGUGGGGUAAUGGCCUACCAAGGCGGCGACGGGUAGCCGGCCUGAGAGGGUGGACGGCCACAUUGGGACAGGGUUACGGCCCAGACUCGUACGGGAGGCAGCAGUGGGGAAUAUUGCACAAUGGGCGGAAGCCUGAUGCAGCGACGCCGCGUGGGGGAUGUCGGCCUUCGGGUUGUAAACUCCUUUCGACCGCGAGGAAGCCACCUGGUUGGAAGGGUGGUGACGGUAGUGGUAGAAGAAGCACCGGCUAACUACGUG
rnacentral:rRNA from 1 species